UACGUAGGGUGCGAGCGUUAAUCGGAAUUACUGGGCGUAAAGCGUGCGCAGGCGGUUCUACAAGACAGAUGUGAAAUCCCCGGGCUCAACCUGGGAACUGCAUUUGUGACUGUAGGGCUAGAGUACGGCAGAGGGGGAUGGAAUUCCGCGUGUAGCAGUGAAAUGCGUAGAGAUGUGGAGGAACACCGAUGGCGAAGGCAGCCCCCUGGGUCAAGAUUGACGCUCAUGCACGAAAGCGUGGGGAGCAAACAGG
rnacentral:rRNA from 1 species